rnacentral:rRNA from 1 species
GACGAACGCUGGCGGCGUGCUUAACACAUGCAAGUCGAACGAUGAAGCUGGAGCUUGCUCCGGUGGAUUAGUGGCGAACGGGUGAGUAACACGUGAGCAAUCCGCCCUUGACUCUGGGAUAACUGCGGGAAACUGUAGCUAAUACCGGAUACUUUCACUGGAAGGCAUCUUCUGGUGAAGAAAGAAUUUCGGUCAAGGAUGAGCUCGCGGCCUAUCAGCUUGUUGGUGAGGUAACGGCUCACCAAGGCGACGACGGGUAGCCGGCCUGAGAGGGUGACCGGCCACACUGGGACUGAGACACGGCCCAGACUCCUACGGGAGGCAGCAGUGGGGAAUAUUGCACAAUGGGCGCAAGCCUGAUGCAGCAACGCCGCGUGAGGGAUGAAGGCCUUCGGGUUGUAAACCUCUUUUAGCAGGGAAGAAGCGAAAGUGACGGUACCUGCAGAGGAAGCACCGGCUAACUACGUGCCAGCCGCCGCGGUAA